UGGGGAAUUUUGGACAAUGGGCGAAAGCCUGAUCCAGCAAUGCCGCGUGUGUGAAGAAGGCCUUCGGGUUGUAAAGCACUUUUGUCCGGAAAGAAAUGGCUCUGGUUAAUACCUGGGGUCGAUGACGGUACCGGAAGAAUAAGGACCGGCUAACUACGUGCCAGCAGCCGCGGUAAUACGUAGGGUCCAAGCGUUAAUCGGAAUUACUGGGCGUAAAGCGUGCGCAGGCGGUUGUGCAAGGCCGAUGUGAAAUCCCCGAGCUUAACUUGGGAAUUGCAUUGGUGACUGCACGGCUAGAGUGUGUCAGAGGGGGGUAGAAUUCCACGUGUAGCAGUGAAAUGCGUAGAGAUGUGGAGGAAUACCGAUGGCGAAGGCAGCCCCCUGGGAUAACACUGACGCUCCAUGCACGAAAGCGUGGGGAGCAAACAGGAUUAGAUAGCCCUGGUAGUCCACGCCCUAAAACCGAUGUGCAACCUAGUUGUUGGGGAUUCAUUUCCUUAGUAACGUUAGCUAACGCGUGAAGUUGACCGCCUGGGGAGUACGGUCGCAA
rnacentral:rRNA from 1 species